GUUAUCCAUGCACUAUCAGAUGGAUUGAUUCACUAUCAGAAUCUAGUUUCAGGCCAACGGAACUACGUGUUUAUAGUCCAACUCUGAUCAGGAGCGACUUUUACUGUGUCAUCAUCAAGGCCAAAGCGACAAGAUGAGAGGGAAUUAUUAAGGCCAAAGCGACAAAAUAAUUCCCGUCCAUUAAUGCCAAAGCGACAAAAUGGACUGACUCACUAUCAGAG
rnacentral:lncRNA from 1 species